rnacentral:rRNA from 1 species
AUUGAACGCUGGCGGCAUGCCUUACACAUGCAAGUCGAACGGCAGCACGGGUGCUUGCACCUGGUGGCGAGUGGCGAACGGGUGAGUAAUAUAUCGGAACGUACCCUAUCGUGGGGGAUAACGCAGCGAAAGCUGUGCUAAUACCGCAUACGCCCUGAGGGGGAAAGCGGGGGAUCGAAAGACCUUGCGCGAUUAGAGCGGCCGAUGCCUGAUUAGCUUGUUGGUGGGGUAAAAGCCCACCAAGGCGACGAUCAGUAGCUGGUCUGAGAGGACGAUCAGCCACACUGGGACUGAGACACGGCCCAGACUCCUACGGGAGGCAGCAGUGGGGAAUUUUGGACAAUGGGGGCAACCCUGAUCCAGCAAUGCCGCGUGAGUGAAGAAGGCCUUCGGGUUGUAAAGCUCUUUUGUCAGGGAAGAAACACCGGCUCUAACACAGUCCGGGAAUGACGGUACCUGAAGAAUAAGCACCGGCUAACUACGUGCCAGCCGCCGCAGUAA